rnacentral:rRNA from 1 species
ACGGCGAGUGAGCGGCAAAGCUCAAAUUAUGAAAUCUGGCACCUUCGGUGUCCGAGUUGUAAUUUGAAGAAGGUAACUUUGGAGUUGGCUCUUGUCUAUGUUCCUUGGAACAGGACGUCACAGAGGGUGAGAAUCCCGUGCGAUGAGAUGCCCAAUUCUAUGUAAAGUGCUUUCGAAGAGUCGAGUUGUUUGGGAAUGCAGCUCUAAGUGGGUGGUAAAUUCCAUCUAAAGCUAAAUAUUGGCGAGAGACCGAUAGCGAACAAGUACAGUGAUGGAAAGAUGAAAAGAACUUUGAAAAGAGAGUGAAAAAGUACGUGAAAUUGUUGAAAGGGAAGGGCUUGAGAUCAGACUUGGUAUUUUGCGAUCCUUUCCUUCUUGGUUGGGUUCCUCGCAGCUUACUGGGCCAGCAUCGGUUUGGAUGGUAGGAUAAUGACUAAGGAAUGUGGCUCUACUUCGGUGGAGUGUUAUAGCCUUGGUUGAUACUGCCUGUCUAGACCGAGGACUGCGUCUUUUGACUAGGAUGUUGGCAUAAUGAUCUUAAGCCACCCGUCUG